rnacentral:rRNA from 1 species
UAAGGAAUAUUGGACAAUGGUCGCAAGACUGAUCCAGCCAUGCCGCGUGCAGGAUGAAUGCCCUAUGGGUUGUAAACUGCUUUUAUACGGGAAUAAACCCGGGUACGUGUACCCGGCUGAAUGUACCGUAAGAAUAAGGGUCGGCUAACUUCGUGCCAGCAGCCGCGGUAAGACGAAGGACCCAAGCGUUAUCCGGAUUCAUUGGGUUUAAAGGGUGCGUAGGCGGGUUGAUAAGUCAGUGGUGAAAGCCCAACGCUUAACGUUGGAACUGCCAUUGAUACUGUCGAUCUUGAAUGUGUUUGAUGUGGGCGGAAUAUGACAUGUAGCGGUGAAAUGCUUAGAUAUGUCAUAGAACACCGAUUGCGAAGGCAGCUCACAAAACCACUAUUGACGCUGAGGC